ensembl:antisense Gm15083 uncharacterized LOC110315249
ACAGUGACAUCUCCCUCAUGCUUCUGCUGCGAAGACGUUCCCAUCACUAUGAACCGUGUGUAACCUUGAGCUGUGAAAAAGUACAACAGCUCUGUGCUGGAGGCCUUUUGUCUGGGUAUGGCUCAUCCCCAAGCCAAUGCUGAGGGCCGGGCAAGGCCAUCCUUCAGGGAGUUGAUGCCCCAUGAUCAACCCUCAUGGUGGCCUAUGGAGCAGCUGGUCUGUGGUAUACAUGCCCUGCAACCCCAGGACUUGAAAGGGCAUGCUCAAGACGCCAUGCAAUUCAGCAAAAGGAUUUGGAGGAAUCCAGCAGAAACUGACCUUGAAGACUCCUCCCUGAGGAAUGGCUCCCAUGGUAUCUGAAGGAGCCAUGCAAGCUGCCAAAGGAGAAAAGCAAUGAAAAGUUUUACCCAGAUGUAAAGCCAAUGAACCACAACAAUGACCAGCCUGGAAGAUGCCCCCAGGGUGCACGGAUGGCACCCACAUCUAAUUGGAGUUUAGGGACACUCAACAGGAGAGAAAUCGUAUUCAAAACCCAGCCAAUGACCAGUGGCUAGUGAGGUCAUGGCUCUCAGAGAAGAACCUACUACUUUCCUAAACCAGCACAGUCUCUCAACUUCAUCCUUCCAACCACAGAUAAAUGUAGCUCUCAGCCCUUGUCAAAGAAGCUUCAUUGCGCAGCCGGCAGAGACCAUCACAGAAAUUUACAACUGGUCUAAAUGCAGAGAACAAAUGACCACAGGGUGCUGCACCCCAGCUGAUACAUCUACAAUACAACUCCUACACAAGGCUCAGAACACAUCAAGGAAGGAACAAUAUGGCCACCUAAAGGAGACCUGAACAAUGACGACAACAAUUAGCACCCCAGUGUGGAUGCAAAGCUUGCACAAAGCCACAGAUGAAGAGCCACAGGUAAUUAAUGGCUCCCGAGAGAUGGAGAAUCAGUCCUUUCUAGGGAUGAUCCCCCUGAUAGGUUUUUCAGCCCCAAGUGAUCGGUCCUAAACACAUGUACAUACGAGCAACACUAAGUGGACUCAGUAGGUUGGAUUUAUACACACACUGUGCUGACUAGUUUUAUGUCAAGUUGACACAAGCUAGGGUCACUGGAGAUGAGCCUUUACUGAGAAAAUGCCUCUAUAAGACCAGGUUACAGGCAAGCCUGUAGGGCAUUUUCUAUUAGUGAUUGAUGGGGGCAGGCCCUGCCCAUUGUGGAUUGUGUCAUCUCUGGACUGAUGGUCCUGGGUUCUAUAAGAAAGCAGGCUGAGAAAUCCGUGGGGAGCAAGCCAGUAAGCAGCAUCCCUCCAUGGUCUCUGCCUCAGCUCUGCCUCCAGGUUUGUGCCCUGCUUGAGUUCCUCUCCCACACACACCCCACCCACUUUUGAUGAUGAACUGUGGUAUGGAGUUUCAAGUGAAAUAAACCCUUUCUUCCCC